rnacentral:rRNA from 1 species
UACGAAGGGUGCAAGCGUUAUUCGUUUUGAUUGGGUGUAAAGGGUACGUAGAUGGCCAAGGAAAGUUUUGAUAAAAAGAGCAGAGUGAAUUUCCUGUGCGGUAUAUCACUUCUAGAUUUGGCUUGAGUUGAAGAGAGGUUGGGUUAAUUUUCUGUGUAGGAGUCAUAUCUUAAGAACUAGGAAGGAAGACUAACUGGCGAAGGCACCUUUCCAGCUUCAACUGACGUUCAGGUACGAAAGCACAGGGAGCAAACGGG